CCCUGGUAGUCCACGCCGUAAACGAUGAGUGCUAAGUGUUAGGGGGUUUCCGCCCCUUAGUGCUGCAGCUAACGCAUUAAGCACUCCGCCUGGGGAGUACGACCGCAAGGUUGAAACUCAAAGGAAUUGACGGGGACCCGCACAAGCGGGGGAGCAUGUGGUUUAAUUCGAAGCAACGCGAAGAACCUUACCAAAUCUUGACAUCCUUUGACAACUCUAGAGAUAGAGCCUUCCCC
rnacentral:rRNA from 1 species